rnacentral:lncRNA from 1 species
UUUCAAUAAAAUGUCACUGCAACAUCUGUUGAUAGACGUACUAGCUGGUAAAUUCACCCUGGCUAUCUACUCCGAUUUCAGACCCCGGGAAAGAAAAGCUCUGGAAGAAAAAGCACCAAAUACAGACUGUUGUAUAGCAAGCAUUGGAUCCUAUACCACAUACUAAAGAUUCCCAUAAGGUCUCAGACUCCAGGAUGGGAAAAUGUGUAACAAGAAAGAAACAGAUGAAGACACAGAAGGGGACCAUGAUACCCUAUGCUGUAUUUUAAAUAGUUAAUCUCUUGUCAACUUCUAUUCUGACUUGUAAUGUUAAAAAGAGGAGAAAAAGAACCCC